AUGCAGGGUCUCCCUUCAUUUUAGUAACUAUAGUAUAAAUAGGUUAAAUAACUUUGGGUUUCUAUCAUCUAUGCUAAUCUGUCAUUUACCAACAUUAUCUGUAAUUCACUAUUCACAUUUGGCCAAGGAAAUAGGAAGCCUAUAUUGCUAAAAGGAGCCUUGCUCUACUGCUUAUCCCAUUUUUGCCUGCCUUGGGACCCACGUGAUUAUUUAUUAGAAGGGAAAGCUGAACUCCUAGUGUCCUUACGUUUGUUUUAUUUUUUAUUUAUUUUUUUUAAGAUUUUAUUUAUUUAUUUGACAGAGAGAGACACAGCAAGAGAGGGAACACAAGCAGGGCGAGUGGGAGAGGGAGAAGCAGGCUCCCCGCUGAGCAGGGAGUCCGAUGCGGGGCUCAAUCCCAGGACCCUGGGAUCAUGACCUGAGCCGAAGGCAGCCGCUUAAUGACUGAGCCACCCAGGCGCCCCUUUACAUUUGUUUUUUAAUAAGCUCACUAACGCUAAGAUUGCUUGAGGAUAAUUAUUGUGAUUUCUUUCAAAGGAGUUUUUUUUUAAUCGAAAAAUGGCCUCCUGUGCUAACCCUCUUAUUUUUAGUGCAAGUAAAGUUUUGUUUGAUAGUCUAAUGAUUUAGAAAGACCAAAUACUAAAGACCUGGGUCUUUCAGAGUAUAAGAGCAGCAUAAUAAAGUAAGGAAAACUUUCAUCCCUAUUUUGACAUUUACAGAAUAGUGAAAACUAAGAUUUGAACUAAGGUCUAUUUGACCUCAGAAUUUGUGGUCUUUCUACUAUACUGUUAUUGUCCAGCUCUGGCAAGAAAUAUUAACAAGCUAUUUCCCACUAAUUUGAUUUGUUAAUUUAUGCCCAAGAAAGUACAUAAACAGAUUGCAGAUAUAUUGCUACUUACCUGCUUUAGCUUCAGGUUUUUUCAGAUUUCUCCAAAGGAAUUUUAAACAUGUUUUGGUUCUACUGAGCUGAAACUGGAAUCAGUUCUCACAUGUAUUCCUUUUGAAUUAAGGUCUCUUUGGAAACAGUAUUCCUUUUACAUGUCAUAUUUCCACUGUAACUUCCCAUGCAAAUACGAAUUUCAUACAGACCAGGAUCGCAUGACUAGGUACUUCAAACCGAAUUGCUGGGAGGUAGAGGAAAGAGUGAUUUGGUAGAGAGAGUAGAGCUUUGAAGGAAAGUAUCCUUGAUUAAUAUCUUUAAUAGAUUUUUUCUUUUCCUUUUUUUGGGGGAGGGAGAAUAAUAUCCACUUGGUAUGUGGGGUUAAAUAAUUGCAAGAGGAAAGUAAUUCCAAAAAUAGGUAUUUGGUGGUGAUAAAUAAAAUAGGUAAGGAUUUGUAAUAGCUAUUUUUUAUUAUACACAAAGUAAGGCACUAAGCUAAGUACUUAUAUUAUUCCAUUUAAUUCGCCAAGAUCUUAUGAGGUGUAGACAAUUAUUAUUCUCAUUAUAUAGGUGAAAUACCUAAGACAUAAUAAACUAAGCAAGCUGUUUGCCAUCACAAAAUAAAAGAGCCAGGAUUUGAAUACAGAACUUAUGCGAGAGCUAUGGUCUUAACAAUUGAAGGGAGAGAGGACCUAUUCUAUUUUGUCCAGAGUGCUUAGGACUCUUAGAGAGCUAGUCCAAUAUUAGGACGUUUAGAAUAUGAAAAUGUAGGCAUGGUUCUCCUUUGAGGCACAGAGCUACCAAGAAAGGAAGAAACUAAAGAUACAUAGCAGCUUCUUUCUUUUUCUUUCUUCCUCCUUUUUUUUUUCCCUCCAUUUGGCAUUCCCAGGUUUGCUGCUCACUGUUCUGUAUCUGGUGGUUGGAGGUAAGGUUGUCAGAGACUUCCCUGAUAGCCCUUGUUUUACUGCCAAGUGCCAGUUCUCUGGGGGUUUUGCUGUGAGUUGGAAUGGGGUAAAAGCUGUUUGAUAUCUAGAAUGCUGGGUACGUUAGGGAUGCCAGACCUAUGAGUUGUAGUACUGAGUCAGGAACUAGCUGUUCACCUCAAGGGCCACAGUCCUUGACUCAGUCUCAAGGUUAUGGAGAUGGCAGAGAUAGAAAGGAAACUUGGAAAGCAAAUAGGCACUGGACUUGGGGAAAGUUUUACAGAGUAACUUGGAAUUAUCUAAUGGUAUAUCAUGUAUCUUCGAAUUUCAUAUUUACCUUACAUGUGGGCUUAGAACUUUAGAGUUGAAAGGGGCCUUUGAGACCAUUUAGACCAGGGGUUAGCCAACUUUUUCUUUAAAUGGCCAGAUAGUAAAUAUUUUAGUCUUUGAGAGAGAGAUAGUCUCUGUCACAACUAUUCAACUCUCCUGUUACUGUGGGGAAGCAGCUGUAGACAAUACCUAAACAAAGGGGAUGGCAGUGUUCCAAGAAAACUUAUUUACAGAAACAGGCGGCAAGCUGGGAUGUGAUCUACAGGCUGUGGUUUGCCAAUCCCUGAUUUAUACUAGUUCCCUCGUUCUACAGGUGAAGGAACAGGCUCAGAGGAGUUUUAGGUGACUUACACAAGGUCCCCUAACUAGUAAGUGAUGGGUAACUCCUGGUAACCUCUUCCCUGCUUUUUCACAGAAGUAGGCUAAGGGGCAAGGAAAGUAAAUGAACAUUUAUUGAGUGCCAGCAAAGCACUUUAUUAAGCAGAGGGAGCUUAUUUAAUCCUCGGGAUAAUUGUCUCAAGUAGGUAGUAUUAUCCCCCAUUUUGCAGAUGAAACAGGGUUAAAGAGGUGAAAUAACUUGCCAGAGAUCACAGAGCUAGUAAGUGGUAGAGCUGAGAUUUGAACCUGGUCUGGGCGGCUCCCAAAUUCUCCUAUUAACAGGUUGCCCCUCUAAACCUUGAUUUUGUUGUAUUGUAAACAUGUAUUUCCUUAUAUUUUUCUCUUGUUGUUGUUUUACUUUUUUCUGUCCAGCUGUCUCUUCAAGAAAUUCUUAGUUUCUUAAUGUUCUAAUGUCCAACAUGUAGCACUGACCAUACCAAUAUUAGUUUCUUUCCUCAUCGAUUUCUGGCUCAGGCAGCUAUUCAGCUUGUUUUCUUUUGUACUAAACUUUUUUAUUUGUAAACUUUUUAUUUUGGAGUAAUUUUAGAUUACAGAAAAGUUGCAAAGACAGUACAGAGAGUUCUUGUACACCCCUCACCUAGUUUCAGUUUCCCCUAACGUAUCUCCCUGUGGGACGUUUGUCAAAGCUACAGUUUUUGUUGGCAUAUUACUAUUAACUAAACUCCAGACUUCGUUUGGAUUUCGCCACAUUUUCCAUUAAUAUCCUUUUUGGAUUUCAGAAUUCAAUCCAGAAUACCACAUUGCAUUUAGUUGUCAUGUCUCCUUAGUGUCUUCUGGUGUGUGGCAGUUUCUCAGUCUUUCCUUGUCUUGCAUGAUCUUGACAGUUUGAAGGAGUACUGGUCAGGUAUUUUGUAGAAUAUUCUGCAAAUUGGCUUUGUCUGAAGUAUUACUUAUGAUUAGAUUGGAAUAAUGGGCUUUUAGAAAGAUUACCACAAAGGUGAAGUGCCCCCCUUACCACAUCAUACCUAGGGACACAUGAUAUCCACAUGCCAUCACUAGUGAUGUUAACUAACAUACAAAAAUGUGUGUGGAUUCUAAGUGUACAGCUCGGUAAAUUAUCACAACGUAAACAUGACCAUUGUAACACCCUCCUGGUCAAGAAGUAGAAUGAUUUUCUGUACCUAGAAUCUUCCUUCUUUCUCAGAAGUAACCACUAUCCUGAAUGCUAAUACCACUGAGUAGUUUUCUCUCUUUUUGAACUUUAUAUAAUUUGCAUGAUUAAGUAUAUAUUUUGUGUGAAUUUUUUCCGUUUUGUUUGUGAGAUUCAGCUGUGUUGUGUGUAACAGUAGUUUGUUCAUUUUUGUCGUGAGUAUGGUCUACCAUUAUAUGGGUAGACUAUGAUUUAUAGAUUCAUUCUACUGUUGAUGGAUAUUGGGUUGUCUCUAGCUUUUUGGCUAUUAUGAUUAAUGUUGCAAAUAAUUUUUGAUGUACAUAUGAGCAUACUUCCAUUAGGUAAAUAUCUAGGAUUGAGUUUCUUGGGUUGUAGAGUAUGCUUAUAUUAAACUUGCAAAAGAUACUAUUAAUUUUCCAAAGUGGUUCUAAAACUUUACAUUCCCACCAGUACUUUAAUGUUGUCUUUUUUUUUUUUUUCAGCCUUUCUAGUGGCUAUGUAGUGGUAGUUUUAAUUUGCAUUUCCCUAAGGAUGUUGAAUAAUGACAGUUUUAUUUCUAGCUUUCCAAUUUUCAUGUCAUUUUUUUUCCUGCUUUACUGCACUGGCUAGGGCCUUCAGUACAGUAUUGGAUAGGAAUGAUGAUAAUGAGUGUCCUAUCUUUCUGAUCACAGAGGAAAAGCUUUCAACACUUCUUUAAAAAUGAUGUUUGCUGGGGCGCCUGGGUGGCUCAGUUGUUAAGCGUCUGCCUUUGGCUCGGGUCAUGAUCCCAGGGUCCUGGGAUCAAGCCCCACAUUGGGCUCCCUGCUCUGCAGGAGGCCUGCUUCUCCCUCUCCCACUCGCCCUGCUUGUGUUCCCUCUCCCGCUGUGUCUCUCUCUGUCAGAUAAAUAAAUCAAAUCUUUAAAAAAAAAAUUAAAUGAUGUUUGCUGUAGGUUUUUUAAUAGAUAGUCUUUAUCACAUUGAAGAAAGUCUCUUCUGAUUCUAGUUUGUGGAGAGGUUUUUUGUUUUUGUGUUUUAAAUGGAUCCUUGAAUUUUUGUCAAGUGACUUUCCAACCUUGUGAUUAUCACAUGAUUUUCUACUUCAUUCUGUUAAUGUCCCGAAUUGCAUUCAUUGAUUUUUUUCUGAAUAUUAAACCAACUUUGCAUUUCUGGAAUAAAGUUAACUUUGGCUGUAAUAUCCUUUUUUUUUUUUUUUAAAUGUUUAUUUAUUCAUGAGAGUCAGAGAGAGAGAGAGGCAGAGGCAGAGGCAGAGGGAGAAGCAGGCUCUCCGCCUAGCAGGGAGCCCGAUGCGGGACUCGAUCCAAGGACCCUGGGAUCAUGACCUGAGUCGAAGCAGUCGCUUAACCAUCUGAGCCACCGAGGCGCCCUGGGCAGGUGCUUUAUUUUCAAUUUCUCCAGUGCAAAACCUGAGCCAUGAAGUAGAUGGGUGACUUGCUUCCAGUCUUCUGAUGGGAGCAGGCUGACUCACGGCUUCUGGCAAGCUGUGCAGCGAGGCUGAUACUUGUGUCCUUAGCCAUGGCCCUGUUGCGAGUGAGAUCCAGAAAGAAAUUGUGAAAUUUUUAUUUUUAGGAGUGUUUAUUGAGGAUUGGUGGACUUCUUGGGAAUUUUCCCAAGUUUGAUAAUUAGGAAAAAAGAACACGUAAAUUAGGUAAAAUUUUAUUUGUUUAUUUACUAAUUUAUUUUUUAAGAUUUUAUUUUAAGUAAUCUCUACACCCAAUGUGGGGCUUGAACUCACAACCCUGAGAUCGAGAGUCACAUGCUGGUAGGGGUUAAUCUUACUAGCCUUUUCAAAAAACUGGCUUAGCCUUUGUCAGUUCUCUCUAUAUUCAUUUCUUAUUAUUUCAUUAAUUUCUCUGAUUCUUUCUGAGUUUACUGUGGCAUUUUCCUUGACUUGAGAUGAUUAGAUCAUAAAUUUUUAGGCUUUGUUUUCUUCAAUAGCUUUUGCUAUAAAUUUCCCUCUAAGCAUAGCUUUAGCUUUAUCUCAUAAGUUUUAAUAUGUUGUAUUUUCAUUAACAUGCAGUUCAAAAUAUUUUCUGAUUUCUUUUGAUUUCUUCUUUGACUCACAGGUUUAUAUAGAGAUGUAUUGCUAGAUUUCCAAAUAUUUGGGGUUUUUUUUGUAAUUUUCUUAAUAUAAUUUAUACUUCAGUUCUGCUGGGAUCAGAGAAUAUACUCUAUGUAAGUUCAGUCAUUUGAAAUUUGUUGUGAUUUGUUCUCUGGUCCAGCAUAUAAUCUCUCUUGGUAAAUGUUCCUUGUACACUUGAAAAGAAUGUAUAUUUUGCAAUUGUUGGAUUCAGUACUAUGUAUAUAAUUUAGGCAAAAAAUGUUAGUCUUGUUCAAAUCUUUUGUACUCUUAUUGAUUUUAUUUUAUUUUAUUUUAUUUGUUUUUUGUUGUCCACUUGUUCUAUUAGUUACUGAGAGAGGUAUGUUAAAACUUAUCAGUGUGGUAGGCAGAGUUAUGAGAUAGCUCCAAAGAUUCCUACCCUCGCUGUACAUGCCUGGUAUAAUAAUAGCCUUCCUUUGAGUGUGAGUGGUACUGGGGAUAUAAUUGAUUUCAGUCUUGUUAUUAGGUAAUAGAUGACAAAGGUGAAUGGGCUUUGCAGAUGUAAUUAAGGUCCCAAAUUAGUUGAAUUUGAGUUAAUCGUUAAUCAAAAGGGAAAUUAUCCUGAACAGGCCUGACCUAAUCAGGUGAGCCCUUAAAAACUGGGCCCUUCCAGAAGACAGAGAGAUUUUGAAGCAUGGGUCUUUCCUGUUGGCUUUGAAUAAGCAAACUGGCAUGUUAUGCUCAGGGCCAGGUGAUAGAGAAUGGCAGGUAGUUUCUAGGAGCUGAGGGCCCCAGUUGUGCGACUGCAAGGAAAUGAAUUCUGACAAUAACCAGUGAACUUGGAUGACGACCCCAAGCAUAAGAUGCAUAACCUGCGAUAGCAGCCACAGUUGACAUGGUGUUUUUAGCCUGUGGGACCCGAGCAGAGGAUCCAGUUCAGUCAUGCCCAGACUUCUUACCUUCAGAAACUAUGGGAUAAUAAAUGCAUGUUGUUUUAAGCUGCUAAGAGUAUAGCAAUAGAAAACUAAUAACUAUGGUUGUGGAUACAUCUUUUUUCCAUUUUAAUUCUGUUAUUUUAAAAAAUAUAUUUUGAAGUUGGGUUAUUAGGUGCACCUUUUUUGCCAUUUAAAAAAAUCUUCCAUUACCUCUGAUAAUGCUGUGUGCCUUAAGGUCUAUUUUAGUGAUUUUAGUACAGCUAUUUUAACUUUCUUUUACAUAUCUACAUCUCUAAGAUGUGCCUCUUGUACAUGAUUGUGUUUUUUAUCUGGUCAGUCUUUUAAUAUUAGAUUAUUUCAUUUAUUUGUAUUUAAUGUAAUUACUAAUGUAUUUGAGUUUAAAUAUACUGUGUUCUUUUUUUAAAUUUUUUUUUUUUAAGAUUUUAUUUAUUUAUUUGACAGAGAGUGACAGUGGGAGAGUGAACACAGGCAGGGGGAGAGGGAGAGGGAGAAGCAGGCUUCCUGCUGAGCAGGGAGCCCGAUGCAGGGCUCGAU